GUGAUCUUUAUUUUCUAGGUGGGGAACAAAGAGCUUGAGAGAUUUAUACCCCAGCCCAAGAUCCACAGUCAUUAAAUGGCAGGGCUCUAGUUCAAAUCCAGGUCAGUGUGAUUCCAGAGCUCACAGUCUCACCACUACUCUCUUCUAGAAUUUACAGUCUUCAUGCUUUGCUCUUCUCUCCUUCCCUCUCAAGACUGCAAUCAUGGAGCUGAUAGACUUAUUUUCACCAAAACAUAAAUGAUGGGCACAGCUUAUUAUGUUUUUUUUCUGGAUGCAUUUUGAAAUGACCAUUGGAUGUACUUCUUUUGCAUUUUUAUUGUGAAAUACAGAACCAGUUUUGGCACUUUAUCUGAAUACAGACAAUAUGGAGGCCUCAGGCUCAGAGGAUGGCAGAGUCUUCAGAUGGAUGGAGGGAGCUGCAGUCACUGAACCACUGCAGGGAGAGAAGUACUCACAGACCAGGAACGCUCAACUUGGACUGUUAUGUGACAGAAAGAACUUGAUGUAUACCUCCUGACCUGUUCAUCUUGUAGCUGCCUCUUGACAGCACAUGUUGGCACCUUUAGAAAGAUCUAGAAAUCCACGUGUUGUACGUAAAUCUGGGGCUGUUGUUACUGCAGAUGUACCUUCCACAACUUGAUUUUCUGUGAUGUCAAUUAUUCAGAUAUAAGAGGCCGCCCUGUAGAGGAGGAAGGAGGAAGUUGGCUGUGAUUGACCUUGCUAGGUCAUCUUCCUAAUCUUUGUCCUUUCCUGCACCCCAAAUGGAAGAUAAAAGGCAAUGCAAGAUCAGCAUCCUCAGAGACAUCGUUUUGUUUGGGUUUCAUGGAUUGCAAUUGCCAGAGAUGCUUAGGCUGCCUCUAGAGGGAAGAUGAUUGAUUGUUAACCUAUGUGGUCCAACCAAAUGUCUUAGGGGUUAUUGAUAAUUAAAAUGGACAAUAGCGAUUUUCCAUUUCUUCUGGCCUUGGGUGCUGGCAUGUGGAAGUGGUAUUGAUACUCAUGACCAAAUAGGCACUUAUCGAUUUCAGUUUUCAUAAGUUGCCUACCAAAUGCAAACUAGUAACCCAGACGUGGGAGACCUAAUAUUCCAUUGUUAAUCUUUAGGUCCAUAAUUUUUAUUUCCUCUACUUGCCUCUUCUUCCUUCCUCUGCAUAAUGAGUUGGGCUUAUAUAAUUGCACCCAUUUACUCACUCAUUCGUUCAAUCAAUUAUUUGUUCCUAUUUUAUGCCAAGUAAUGAACAGAAGGUGUUGGGGAUGCAAAACCCAACUAAUUGGAAUUUCUAUGUUACAGGAGCUUAUGCUUUAGUGAAAUUAUAGACAAAUUAUUAUACAGUUUUAAUCCAGAAUAGUAAGUGCUAUGGGAGCAUGCACAGAGGAAACAACCCAAUCUUAAGGAAUCAGGAAGGUUUGCAGAGGACUGACAGGAAAAGUGGGCAGGUGAAGAAGAUGGGCAGUGAGAGGAGGAGUGGAAGCACUUUUGCUAGGGAAAAACAUGAAUAAAAGGGAUAAUUUUCUGCUCUUACCCCUGGGUGAUCUUUGCGUGGUACUGUCCAUCACAGUUGGGAGAGACGGCUCCUCAGAGCUGCUCCACACUGUUCACAGAGGAUGCCAUUCCAAGGAAACUGGGGAAUAGGGAAAGUCUUUAGCUUAUUCCUCUUUGAGGUUUGUUUGAGAUGCAGUUUCUUCAAUAUUUUGAGUCUAUGAAAACAUGUUGUAUACUUAAAUAUAUACCACAAAAAAUAAAAAAAAUUGCGAUUUAAA
rnacentral:lncRNA from 10 species